GGACCGAGGAGCUACACUCCAUCCAGGGGGAGCUCAGCCAGAUCAAAGCCCAGGUGGACAGGCUGUUGGAGAGUCUGGAGCACAUGGACCACAACAGGGCCCAGGCUGCAGGGACAAAGGACACUGAGGAGAACAGGGUCCCUGGUAACAAGUGCUGCUCACGCCCAGCUACUGAGGCCCAACAGGAGUCCAGGAGCCAGAGGACCCCUCUGGAGGGAAGGACAGCCACAGAGCAGGUGGUGCAGAACCAAGCAUCUGACCAGGAGGGAAGCCAGUAGCCACUGGUGGGAACCCUUCCUGGUUGGCCCCCUGCCUCCCAGCAGUACCCAAGCAACCUGAGCACCCAGGACAAUGGAAGAGGAGGCAUGGGUCAGCCCUCUCAGUUGGAAAGCCUCUCUGUAGUGUUGGGUUUAUCUUUGAUGGCUGUUUCCAGAAUCCUAGGGCUGGCAGGAUAGGGAGGCUCCCCAUCCUCACAAAGCCGAGGCACGGGAGAGCACCACCAGCCGUUCCGAAUGCAGUCACUGCCUUGGCGGAUCCCCUCCUUGCCCCACGUCUCCAAUCACAGCAGCCGGCCCAGCUUUCUUCAACCGGUGUUGAAAUGCUUGUGAUCCUCCAUUCAAACACUGAGCUGUAGACCUUAAAGGUCCACAGUGCAGCACCCCCCAGCCCUUUGCUUCCAGACUCCACCCUACACAGCCAUCCUUCAAAAGAGUGGUAGCAUUCUUUGUCAUGUUCUGACCUUGUCUUUCAUUAGUAUACUGUGUAUCCCAGACCUGCUCUGGAAAAAAUUAAAAUGUACCCUUCUUCUUGGUCAGGAGUUCCUAUUUGUGGCUCCAGAACAUUCUGGCCCUUGGGCUGCCCGUCCUGUAGAAGGUGAGCCCUUGAGACACUCGUACCAAACUGGGGUGCAGAUAAGGCUGCUGUCUUUUCAAAAACAG
rnacentral:lncRNA from 1 species